GGGUCUAAAGCGUCCGUAGCCGGCUGGAAAAGUUCUCCGUUAAACCCAACGAUUCAAUCGUUGGACUGCGGGGAAUACUCUUCAGCUUGGGGGCGGGGGAAGUCGGCGGUAGUCCAGGGGUAGGGGCGAAAUCCUAUCAUCCUUGGAGGACCACCAGUGGCGAAGGCGGCCGACCAAAACGCGCCCGACGGUGAGGGACGAAAGCUGGGGGAGCGAACGGGAUUAGAUACCCCGGUAGUCCCAGCUGUAAACGAUGUGGGCUAGGUGUUGGGACGGGUACGGCCCGUCUCAGUGCCGCAGGGAAGCCGUUAAGUCCACCACCUGGGAAGUACGGCCGCAAGGCUGAAACUUAAAGGAAUUGGCGGGGGAGCACA
rnacentral:rRNA from 1 species